CAGUACGAAAAGGUGCACAUAUUUCACUAUGCUUAAGAACAUACAUCUUGGUUGGAAUUUUUGGUAAUCGGUGUAGAUAUCGGUAUCCAUUACGAAUACUCAAAUCGUCAGCUGGCAUAACAUCAUCACGAUUCAACGAAAAGAUGAGUAACAUUUCUACUGUCCAUCUUCCGAUUCCUUUAAUCUGAGUAAGUCGUUCUAUCAAUUCUUCAUUUGAGAGCCUUUCAGCUUCUUCUUUAGUAGGAAUCAAACCGCUGAUUGUUGCCUCAGCAAUGCUUUUUAAUGAAUCAAUUUUACGAGCUGAAAAUCCACAGGCACGCAUUAUUUCAAAAUCCAUAUCACGAAUUUCCUCUGGUGUUGGAAAUUGGCCAUUGUUAGAAAUACUUUUAAAGCGAUUGAAAAUUGCGUUAGCAGCUUUACUAUGCAAUUGUUGAGAUGCUACCGCACGAAUUAAUUCUUCAUAAGGCUCUUUUUUCUCCAUACUUCGAUUGGGUCGAUAAUUACCAACGAGCUUCACGAGCCGUUUCCAAUUCUCAUCCAAUCCAGAAAGAUGGAUUUCUGCUUUUGUGAGUGAAGUGACUAUCUCUUCUUUCUCUUCAAUGUCCAAAGUCAUAAUAGCAAAGAUUCAAUUGAUCAAAAAUUUAUCACUCAUUAUGUGCUUUUGACUAAACGGUAAGGGUUUUCAUUCCUUAGGAAUUGCACUGCAAUUCGUUAUUUAUGUAAGCAAGUCCUAAGCUAAAAAAAAGGAAUCUUGAAGCAAAUUCAACAUUCUUAGAUGUAAUUUGAAACUUCAAUUAAAUUUUCAUCUGGAUCGCGAAAAUAAAUAGAGAGGAUAACUCCUUCAGCUCCAGCCCUUGUAAUAGGACCUUCUUCUAUGAGAACAUUUUGCUUUUUUAAGUGAGCAAUGACUUGCUCUAAGGGUGUUUUAGCUAUUAGGCAAAUAUCAUUUGACCCAGGAGUCAGUAUGUGUGAUUUUGGGUCAAUCUCAUUACCCUUUUGAUGCAAGUUGAUUUUUUAUGACCGAAACCGAGUGCCUUGCGAUUGUUUCCAAAUGCGAUAACCGACAUUCCUAAUGUGCGCUCAUAGAACUCACAGGUGGCUUCUACGUCUUGGACAGUGAAAACAAUAUGGUGGAAACGAUCAAUUUAUAUAAUAUCUUUUUCCAUUAGUUAGUAUCAAAGAUCUUUUAUAGAUGUAAAAUGUUGUAAAGGAGAGUCAGAGGAAACUAACCACUUCCGUUAAACAAGUAACAACUCUUCGACCUUAGAGUAUAUGACAGAUUAAAGAAAUAUUGGGCGUUCAAUAAGGCAUAAAAUGGAUAAAACGAUGGAAUAGCUAUAAAGAAAGCAUAGUGUUUUAAGAAUUAUUCAUCCACCUUACUAAGCUUACUUUCUCUAAUUAGCAUUGACGUUGAAC